UACGUAGGGUGCGAGCGUUGUCCGGAAUUAUUGGGCGUAAAGAGCUCGUAGGCGGUCUGUCGCGUCGGUCGUGAAAACUUGGGGCUUAACCCUGAGCUUGCGGUCGAUACGGGCAUGACUGGAGUUCGGCAGGGGAGACUGGAAUUCCUGGUGUAGCGGUGAAAUGCGCAGAGUAUCAGGAGGAACACCGGUGGCGAAGGCGGGUCUCUGGGCCGAUACUGACGCUGAGGAGCGAAAGCGUGGGGAGGCGAACAGG
rnacentral:rRNA from 1 species